AUCUAUUUCGUACAUUCCGGUCCUGAGCACGUCGUCCGCACCCACCUGACGACUACCCGCGUCGUCUUGUCAGCC
rnacentral:sRNA from 1 species